rnacentral:tRNA from 1 species
GGCCCCGUAGCUCAGUGGAUAGAGCAGCUGCCUUCUAAGCAGCCGGUCGUAGGUUCGAUUCCUACCGGGGUCGCCA